rnacentral:rRNA from 1 species
UACAGAGGGUGCGAGCGUUAAUCGGAAUUACUGGGCGUAAAGCGCGCGUAGGCGGCUUUUCAAGUCGAUUGUGAAAUCCCCGGGCUUAACCUGGGAACUGCAGUCGAGACUGUCUAGCUAGAGUAUGGGAGAGGGAAGUGGAAUUUCAGGUGUAGCGGUGAAAUGCGUAGAUAUCUGAAGGAACAUCAGUGGCGAAAGCGGCGCGCUGGACCACUACUGACGCUGAGGAACGAAAGCUAGGGGAGCAAACAGG